AGAAAAGUAAGCUAAAAUAAGCUAAUGGGUUCAUACCCCAUAAAUAGAGUAAACCUCUCUUCUCUA
rnacentral:tRNA from 1 species